rnacentral:rRNA from 1 species
AGUGGCGAACGGGUGAGUAAUAAAACGGAACGUACCUUUGAGUGGGGGAUAACUAGUCGAAAGAUUAGCUAAUACCGCAUACGAUCUACGGAUGAAAGUGGGGGCUCGUAAGACCUCAUGCUCAUAGAGCGGCCGAUAUCUGAUUAGCUAGUUGGUGAGGUAAAGGCUCACCAAGGCUUCGAUCAGUAGCUGGUCUGAGAGGACGACCAGCCACACUGGGACUGAGACACGGCCCAGACUCCUACGGGAGGCAGCAGUGGGGAAUUUUGGACAAUGGGGGCAACCCUGAUCCAGCAAUGCCGCGUGAGUGAAGAAGGCCUUCGGGUUGUAAAGCUCUUUUGUCAGGGAAGAAACGGUGAGGGCUAAUAUCCCUUGCUAAUGACGGUACCUGAAGAAUAAGCACCGGCUAACUACGUGCCAGCAGCCGCGGUAAUACGUAGGGUGCAAGCGUUAAUCGGAAUUACUGGGCGUAAAGCGUGCGCAGGCGGUUAUGUAAGACAGGUGUGAAAUCCCCGGGCUUAACCUGGGAAUGGCAUUUGU